GAAUGUUGACGAAAAGUUAAGUAUUAAAUUUGAACUCAAUUGAACGUGGACACAAAUAAAGGUCACCAAGUCUUGGCACAGGUUGUGUGAGCCCCUUUGAGGCGUUCAUUCAGCACUGUUUCAGAGAAGUCUCUAUUUCAAUCUAUUCCUAUAUGUUAGUUAUUGUAAAACAAUAGCCAAUCACAAUAACAAGUUGACCUUUUUGUGUUUCUUGAGCCCAGUCACAAAGGGCCCUCGUGACUGGGCUUCAUGCCAAACAACUUGUUACAAGAAGAGCUAGGGUCCCAGACCACACUAAAGCUUCAAGAAACCUCUCCUAGUCUGUGCAAGGACUGUUGGCUGACUCUGGAGCCCAGACUGUUGCUUCCUGGUCUGGUGAUAAAUCCUCCAUAGUCUGGUAUUGUUGUCUCUAACCCAGACCUGAUCACCUGGCUACAGCAAGGAAAAGAAACUUUGACCAUGAAGAGACAGGUGAUGAUUGCCAAACACACAGAUGGACUCACAGCCUGUCACCCAGGCUGGAGUGCAGUGC